rnacentral:rRNA from 1 species
AUUGAACGCUGGCGGCAGGCCUAACACAUGCAAGUCGAGCGGAGCGGCGGACGGGUGCGUAAUGCCUAGGAAUCUGCCUGGCAGUGGGGGAUAACGUCCGGAAACGGGCGCUAAUACCGCAUACUAUCAGAUGAGCCUAGGUCGGAUUAGCUAGUUGGUGGGGUAAAGGCCUACCAAGGCGCCGAUCCGUAACUGGUCUGAGAGGCUGAUCAGUCACACUGGAACUGAGACAGGGUCCAGACGCCCGCGUGAGGGAGGAGUGGGGAAUAUUGGACAAUGGGCGAGAGCCUGAGCCAGCCAUGCCGGGAGUGUGAAGAAGGUCUGCGGAUUGUAAAGCACUUUAAGUUGGGAGGCGUUACCAACAGAAUAAGCACCGGCUAACUUCGUGCAAGCAGCCGCGGUAAUU